GUGAGGAAUAUUGCGCAAUGGAGGCAACUCUGACGCAGCCAUGCCGCGUGCAGGAAGAAGGCGCUACGCGUUGUAAACUGCUUUUAACCGGGAAGAAACCCCAGGACGUGUCCUGGGUUGACGGUACCGGAGGAAUAAGCACCGGCUAACUUCGUGUCAGCAGCCGCGGUAAUACGAAGGGUGCAAGCGUUAUCCGGAUUCAUUGGUUUAAAGGGUGCGUAGGCGGAGCGUUAAGUCAGUGGUGAAAUCCUGCAGCUUAACUGUAGACUUGCCAUUGAUACUGGCGCUCUUGAGUGCGCUUGAAGUGGGCGGAAUGUGCCGUGUAGCGGUGAAAUGCUUAGAUAUGGCACAGAACACCAAUUGCGAAGGCAGCUCACUAAGGCGAUACUGACGCUGAGGCACGAAAGCGUGGGGAUCGAACAGGAUUAGAUACCCUAGUAGUCC
rnacentral:rRNA from 1 species